rnacentral:rRNA from 1 species
UACGGAGGGUGCAAGCGUUAUCCGGAUUCACUGGGUUUAAAGGGUGCGUAGGCGGGCAGUUAAGUCCGUGGUGAAAUCUCCGAGCUUAACUCGGAAACUGCCAUGGAUACUAUUUGUCUUGAAUACUGUAGAGGUGAGCGGAAUAUGUCAUGUAGCGGUGAAAUGCUUAGAGAUGACAUAGAACACCAAGUGCGAAGGCAGCUCACUGCGCAGUUAUUGACGCUGAGGCACGAAAGCGUGGGGAUCAAACAGG